GAGAGAUGUCCACUGUCCCCCGGGCACCGCCGGUAGGCGGCCGGCACCGGCACGCACCGCCGGUAGGCGGGGAACGGGGCGGAUAUUCGGAGCCGCGGGAGUGGGUUUGGGAUCCUGCGGGGGACGGAGAGGGUGAAGAAGGGGAGCAAGCGGGAAAGGGAGUGACGAAGAGAACGGGCACGCACGAGCAGUUGCGGAAGGGCAGCAACUGCGCCGGUCGUCGCUGGCAAGAGGCGUGCCUCAUCAGGUCCUCCUGGAGGUGGCAGCUGAAGCAGGUAAGUCUCGUAGUUUAGCUCGCCUUGACAGGGCACGCGAGCGGUAGCUCGAGGAUAACUGGUGCAUGUAGCGGCCGGCGGCAGCAGCUAACGGAGCAGAGGCCAGGUGGAGGCCAGAGGGGCAGCGAAGGCAACCUUGGCAAUGGGGCUCUGGCGACGACUACGGGGACACUAGCUGAUGCAGCUCCUGCUGUGAAGAAGAAAAAGUCGUCUCGAAGAUCUACUGCCUAGGGUCCUCGGUCUGCUGUGGUGACUACUGAUGACGAUGGGGCUCCCACGGAUGAUGGUGCACCUCUGACGACUACUGAACCUCAUCAAUCCUCCGAGGGUCCGUCCUCCGGAACGGAAAAGCUAGCAACAACAAAAACACGAUCGGAAGAAUUCCGUUUGAACAGAUUGAGUACAGAUAUGAGUCUAUAACAACGGAGGUGACUGAGAACACAUAAGCUCGAAUACAUAAGCUCGGGAGCUCCGGGGACC
rnacentral:rRNA from 1 species